rnacentral:lncRNA from 1 species
CAUACUUCUGAGCUCUGAGAGUUCUAAUUUUAGUCCACGUCGCACGGUUGCCUAGAACGCUCCGAUUAUGAGGAGAGAUUCCCUUUAAUUCAAAGUAGGAAGAGCAGCGCUAUCGCUCUGUUUCUGCCUUCUGCGGUCUGGGAGGGUCAGGCCUGGAAGCAGCGUCUCUAUCUCCAGAGUGUUUGGGCAUUCCCCUGAAAAUGCGGACUCUAAGGCUAAC